CGGCUGUGACGUGUCAGUCACGUGACUUGCACGCUAUGGCGGCAUCAACAUGGCAGUGUAGCAGUGCAGCUGGCGUACCUUUAGCCACACAAACACACGGUGAUUCCUUGUUUAAAAUUCCUGGAUCAGAGCGCGGUCAAGCCAACAUGGAUCCCGACCAAAGAUCAACCAGCAGGAUUUGCUGCCGUCGACUCCCCUGAGACCCUGCGCGUCAGGACACCCGUGGAGACACCCUUCCGACUAUCAGGUCACGAGACAAGACGCCGUUUUGGUUUGUAUUCAAAGCUGCAUGAAGGAAGACCAGCCCUGACCUUUCAGCACGAGUUCAACACCAAAGUAUGUGUCCAGUUGCAUAGACGACUGCGCUCCCGGGUAGUUUGAGCUGUGUCUCCUGAACCCGAGCAUCGCUGGUGAGGACGUAGCGCUCCCACCUGGAGAAGAACAUACAGACACCUUCCAGUUUCCAGCAGACAAGUUUUGCAGCGACCCGGCGGCCCCUUCCAGCGUGGCAGAGUUGGAGCUCUCAGCUAGCAAGUUGAGGUAUGGCUUCACGACCAUGGGGUGCCACAGCAGCUCGGCACCCCUCAGAGGCUGGGAAAACCCUGGAAUGGCCCCCAUGCCGUCCCACUGCACAGCACACAUGUACACAAAAUGAGACACAGCUUCCUGUCUAUUAAAAGCUGCUCCUUUUCCUCCCGCGCCUCCUCUUGCCCCAGCAGAUGUAGUCCAGCUCCUUGGCCGGGGAGGAGAAUCCCAGGAGAGUGUCCAGCUCCUGGUUGCCAAGGAGACGAGAGGAAGGCAUUUCCACUUCUAGCCGGGCUCUGUAUACAUGUUGACAUUGGCAUUGAGUAAAUAGAUCUGCAUUUGCAGCACCUUGCUGUCGUAGUCGGAGGUGUUCACGCAGGCUUUAAGGAUGUGAAGCAGCGAGUCCACCAGACCCUCACAGCAGCGCAGCUGACUCCUCGCCUCCUCGCCAGCAGAGCUCAGGCCUCCGCCACUGAGGAUGCAGAAAGUGACAUUGCCAUUCUUGCCAACCCUCCCGGAUUUUCCGGGAGACUCCCGAAAUUCAGCACCUCUCCCGAAAACCUCCCGGGACAAAUUUUCUCCCGAAAAUCUCCCGAAAUUCAGGCGGAGCUGGAGGCCACGCCCCCUGCAGCUCCAGACCUGACUCAAUGUUGUGACCCUCUUAAACAGGACAAUACUGCCAUCCACUGUACAUAGAAUAGAAUGUAAAUAUAUUCUACAUUUAAGUGCAGUCAAGGAACAUGCAUUAGGGAGUCUGUUCUGAAGACCACAGUAAAGAGACGUAACUUCAUCACGUUGCCUGGUUAUUGACUCCAACCCAAUAUAUUACACUGUUGACGAGCAAAAUGAAGAAAUACGCUUGCAAGUUCCAGAACGAUUGGAAACAAAAAAUUCAUUUUAUCCAGGAGAGUUCGAAGGGGAAGGGGUAUGUUGCCUGUAAAUUUUGUAGAACACACUUCUCCAUUGAACACCGCGGCCGAAUGGAUAUACUCAGCCAUGAACGGUCAGUCAGGGGAGAACAAAGCGUCCGCAGCGCAGCAUCGUUCACAACCCAGUAUUAUGGCCCACCUCGCAAAAUGGAGACCCGAUGGUGUAUCUUAUUCUGAGACAAAGAUGGCUAUGCUGAUAGCUGGAAGCAACAUCCUGUUCUCAUUUGCGGAUGUCUACAACAAAUCCGUGAAGGAUAUUCCCGGAUUCGGAAAUCGCUUGCCAAUACGCGAAUGGCAGAACAAAGGUUACUCAAAUAGUGAAAGGUAAGUGUUGUUGUUUUU